rnacentral:rRNA from 1 species
AACGAACGCUGGCGGCAGGCUUAACACAUGCAAGUCGAACGCCCCGCAAGGGGAGUGGCAGACGGGUGAGUAACGCGUGGGAAUCUACCUAGUUCUACGGAACAACAGUUGGAAACGACUGCUAAUACCGUAUACGCCCUAUGGGGGAAAGAUUUAUCGGAAUUAGAUGAGCCCGCGUAAGAUUAGCUAGUUGGUGGGGUAAUGGCCUACCAAGGCGACGAUCUUUAGCUGGUCUGAGAGGAUGAUCAGCCACACUGGGACUGAGACACGGCCCAGACUCCUACGGGAGGCAGCAGUGGGGAAUAUUGGACAAUGGGCGCAAGCCUGAUCCAGCCAUGCCGCGUGAGUGAUGAAGGCCUUAGGGUUGUAAAGCUCUCUCACCGAUGAAGAUAAUGACGGUAGUCGGAGAAGAAGCCCCGGCUAACUUCGUGCCAGCCGCCGCCGUAAUAC